AAAGGCGUUGGAGAGCGUGGUGGCCAAGGUGAUGAGCGCCAACAAAGCAACCAGCAGGACUUUCCAGGGCAGGGCGAUGGAGUCCUGGUAAAUGUAGCCGUCGGCGCUGCAGUUGUGGGAGAGGUAAAAUCGUCAUCGAAGACUCCAGCACUGAACAACCCUUUCCUGUGUAGCGAUAACCCAUAGCCAGGCUCCUCUCAAACAGCCUCACUAUCUCUGAAAGUUGCAUUUCAAAGCAAAACUCCUGCAAGUACCAUUUACAAGAAGGAUCUACGCGAGGCACAAAGCAAAUCUCAAGCAAACUGAAACUGACAGUUAAUCAAAAAAGAUGAUUAAGAAAAUAACCGUAAUCAAAGGAAAUAACUUCUCCAUCAACAAUCAGCAUACGCCACGACUGCAAGCUCCUGCUGCCUGCACCUCCUUGCCAUGAUGGACUGUACCUUGAACCCUGUGCUGAAAGAAGCCUGUUCUUUCAUAAGUUGCUUUCAUCAGAGUAUUAUGUCACAGCAACAGAAGAGAAACUAGGACAGCAUAAAUAAAGUUACAUUUCAUAAAUUUGCCAGCACCCAAAUCUAACUCAACCCUCCCAAGUAUACAGAGCCAUGUUCUAUCUUGUCCUUGUCAAAUACCCCUGUCUUUCUCUCAGGUACUUCCAAAGGCUGAUGGCUGACACCUUGGCAACAAAAAUGUAUAACUACAUUGUCUUGGUUCAUUCUUCACUCAGUAGAUUAUUGCUUUGGAUCCUAAAUGCCAAUAUUUUUUCUGUAUAUAUUAAAUGAAAAGGUCUAAGACAGUGAUGACUUCUCUUGUUAGAAAAGUUUACUUUUCUGCCAAAUGUAUACUCUAUUUUCAGUAUUAGAGUAUGCUUUUAUUAUGUCUAUUUUUUUCUCUACUACCGCUUGACUAUAACAGACUAGUUAUGUGAAUUUGUCCUAACGUAGUAAAUUUUAAGGCUAAAACUUUGGGCUGUGGUGAGUUCUCAGAUCAUUGUCAGUUUGUUUCCAAAAGGAAUAUGAGACCCCAGUUCUCUCUUAUUCUUCCUUCUGCUUCUUAAUCACGAGGUAAUGCAGUUUACCAUUUGCCCCAUCUUGGUCCUCUGGCAUCCUUAUCUCUAGUCCAAAUAUAGGUUAACAAAAUCUUAGAAUUUCCAAUCCAAAAGCAUGAGCCAAUAUGCACCUUUCAUAUUCAUUAAUCAAUCAUUUAACAUUUGGGUUGUUAUAGUAACAAGAAGCUAACUAACAAAGUCCCUUCAUGUCCUGAGAGAGGUAUCAUAUAUUUUUUUAAAAUGUUUUUUUGGUGUUAUUUUCAUUAUGUUUGCAUUUUAAGUAUGAGUGUGUAUAGAAAAUUGUCAUUUAGUUGAGUAAGAUUGCUGAGUAUUUUGAGUCAUAAAAAUUGGGUUGUCAUUUGUUUU
ensembl:antisense D430036J16Rik RIKEN cDNA D430036J16 gene